AUGAACGCUGGCGGCGUGCUUAACACAUGCAAGUCGAACGGUGAACACGGAGCUUGCUCUGUGGGAUCAGUGGCGAACGGGUGAGUAACACGUGAGCAACCUGCCCCUGACUCUGGGAUAAGCGCUGGAAACGGCGUCUAAUACUGGAUAUGUGACGUGACCGCAUGGUCUGCGUCUGGAAAGAUUUUUCGGUUGGGGAUGGGCUCGCGGCCUAUCAGCUUGUUGGUGGGGUAAUGGCCUACCAAGGCGACGACGGGUAGCCGACCUGAGAGGGUGACCGGCCACACUGGGACUGAGACACGGCCCAGACUCCUACGGGAGGCAGCAGUGGGGAAUAUUGCACAAUGGGCGGAAGCCUGAUGCAGCGACGCCGCGUGAGGGAUGAAGGCCUUCGGGUUGUAAACCUCUUUCAGCAGGGACGAAGCGUGAGUGACGGUACCUGCAGAAGAAGCACCGGCUAACUACGU
rnacentral:rRNA from 1 species